GAAAGUUCAUUUCCUAGACGCUCAUAACAACAAAGUGAAAAAACAGAAACGAAGAAAGGAAAGCAAAGCGUUUCCGUUUUUUGAGAAAAGUUUUUGGCUUUUGCAACAUGUGAAGGAUUUAGAAGCCAAAAAAAAAAAAAAAAAUAGUAAAGUGGUUUUGAAAUUUUGAGAGAGCAA